AACUCCAAACAUAUUAUAUAUAUUAUGUACAAGAAAAGUCAAAACAGCGUGUUUCGCAAGAAUUUUGUAGAUUCAUCUGCCAGUUGCAGUAUUUCCUAGCCGAUAUGACUUAGAGACAUUCUUGCUUAGAAAAUAGUACUACUUCAUGGCCAUCAAUGCAAUCUGGUAUUGAAUAAUAUGUAAAUUGUGCAUCCGCGGGCUUUGUUACUUCCUCUCAGCUGUACCACUUACCCGUUUUAUCUUUAGCUAAAUCAUCUUUACAAACUCAAUAUAUUUUGAAAACCUUACCUCGUUGACCAACAUUAAUUAGAUGCAUUUACAGAGUGAUCAUUACACUUGUUUGUAUAUUUACAUGAUAGGUAUUACGAGUCUGCAAGCCAUAUACUGUGUGCAAUAUAUAUUUUAAAAUUAGUAGUACUGCUUCAAUACGAUCGUUGUUCAUAAUAUUUUUAAAGGUUGCAAUAUUUAAAAAUAGUUCUUGACAACAUUUUCACUAUAUUGUAAACGGUAAUAGAAUAUCUUAGAUAGUUGUUGACUCAAGGAUAAUCAUUUGUCACUGUUGAAAUGCCUCUUGAAAAGCUGGCUGGUUUUUCUUGGGGCAGAUUUGCAGUGUAAUAAUUAACUUUAGUUGGAUUUUUAUGUAUGAUAGGAUCAUCUUAAACGAAGAGAUAAACUCGAUUUCAUCCCGUUUUUUAAAUUUUUGUUUUUUUUAACACCUUUUUUACCUUUUCAACAUUAAAUCAAGGUUUUUAAAGUGUUAUUUAAAAUUUUGUUGGUCUUUUAGUAAACUACGUCUUGUGCUACUCCUAGUUCUUCUUUUUCCAAUCCUAAUUAUUACUUCUAUCACAAUAUAGCAUUCUAUCUUUUAUGUUAUUUACACACUUACUGCAUCUCACUCUGCUGUUAAGCUUUACACCUCUUAAGAUUUUUCUGUCACUUUAUAAUUCUUAAGUUUUAUAAUAAGUGUACACGUUGUUCUAAAUAUUGAGAUGAUCCAAUUUUAUACAAACUUUUGUUUUAUAUAACCACAGUUAUUGUUGAAAUUUUUUUGUUUGAAAGGAUAAUCAAUGUCUUUAUUUUAUUUUAUUUCUUCCAGGUAUAGCUGAACACUUCUAACCAAUACAGAUUAUCUUCAUGUACUAUAUUUUGUUGAGUUCCGUUAAUGCAACUUAAAAUAAUGGGCUCUAUUAUGUUGAUUGUAAAUAUUUUACGAUAUAUUCUAUCAACCAUUAUAUAUCAUUAUAUCAAUCAACUAAAAAUAAAACUUACUCCUACACAUGGAGACUUAGAAUCAAAUUAUUUUUUCUAAUAAAUAAAAUAAAUUUUUAUAAUCUUAUAAUCCGUUUAAAUAUAAGACUCAAUUAACUUUUCUGAUUUAAAUUCUAUUGUAUGAUUUUAUUUACUGGAGUUGCAGGGUACAUAAAAUGGCAAACAAUGUGGUGCAAUAUGUGUGAAAUCCACAACUGAAACCAAAAUUGGAUUAUAAAACUUGCUUGCGAUGAGACUGCAAAUAAAGAAGCAGAAGAAAAUGAAUUAUGACAUAUUCCAAGAGCAGUAUGGUGCCUUGUCAUCGUCUCAGAAGAUUUACAAAAUGGAUCACUUAAUAAAAUCCAUGCAAUUACCAAAAAUGGUGAGCAGAGAUAACGACUGAAGAAGAAGAAGAAGGUUCAACUUAUUGUUAGCGUUUAUGCGAUAACUAUCAAAUGCGACCUGCAUGUCUGCAGUUGCACACGGGAAGUUGGUGAUCCAGUUGAAAAUACUCUAAAGAGGCUCAAAGGAUGGAAAUUUCCGUUAGAUGGGCGCCCGUCAUUUACAUGCAAUAAGACCAAGUAAAGGUUGAUCACCUGGCGGUCUUGUAGUGAGGUAAAUGUCCUAUGCAUGAUUGUUGAAGGUAAAGCGAAAAAUUUUUAUGUUAUAGGAAUAGGUCUGCAGUUAGCUAUAGAAGUAAUAAAAAAAUAUUCAACUGACAUCUGUUCUCUGUGGGCAAUUAAUUUGUAUAAAAUAAUUAAAUUAUUUGUGGAUUCACAACAAAGAUCGAAUA